GCAUUUGCUAUGGCCUCCACUCUUGCUCCUCCGGAUGACCUCCACAUUGCUGGCUUCUUGUUGGAUAUAAAGAAGAUGACAAUUAGCGUGUGGGGAGUCCCCAAGACAUUUUGAUGUUAAACGUGGGUCCUUCUUCUUGACAAGGGAUACACACCUACCUACCGAGAGACCUCCAAACAGAGACAUCAACACAGAAACCUCCGCAGAGAUAACCAGAUCUCCAUAUGCAAACCCAUGUAAAAAGAAACCUAGAGAAACAGAUGCCCAGAUGAAGAGGGGUAUGAGUAUUCUCAUAGGUUUCCAGACAGAUUCUUGGCUGACGUUUCUGUCAGUGGUGUGAAAGGACAUUUACCCAGAUUCUAUAGAUAUUUUGGUUAUGCACUCAACAAACCUACAAUGAAACUACCAGAAUACAAAAGCAAUUGUGAACUCCAGAGAGUGCUAGAAAACAUUAUGGAAGAGGGUAUAGUUUAUGUUAAUUAUAGAGGACUAAAGAGAUGUAGAAUAGGAGAGCUGAAAAAGCCUCCACUUCCAGUGGCUCUUAGAGUGUAAUUAGUCCAAGGGACAGCAAGCUGCCUUCUAGCAGAAUCGUUGUGAUCCCAAAGCCCACAUGACUGGGGCCUCUCUCUGGUCCUUUAUACAGUAAUUAAUAUUUAAAAGAUCUCGCUAAAGCCCUGUCAAGUCCUGAAGCAAGAUUUUGAAAAAUAAAAAAACUCAUAAAACACAAAAUAGAACAAAACAAUGAGCUCUGAGUUUGCUUUGUUGAAAGCAAUGGGUUGAAUUGUGUCUCCCCAUAAUAUGUAUUUUGAAGUCCUAACCUCUAGUACCUUAGGGUGUGACCUUAUUUGGAGAUGCAGACAUUACAGAAGUAAUCAAGUUAAAGUGAGGUCAUUGGGAUGGGCCCUAAUCUGAUACAACUGGUAAUUUGGACACAGACACAUUCAGGCAGAACACCAUGUGAACAUAAAGAUGGUCAGGUACAAGCCAAAGGGGAGAGGCCUGGAACAGAUCCUUCCUUCACAGGCCUCAGAAGGAACCAACCCUGCCAACAUCUUGAUCUUGGACUUCUGGCCUCCAGACCUGUGAGACAACAAAUUUGUGAUCUUUUGUUAUGACAAUCCUAGCAAAAUACACUGUGACACCCAGUUUCUAAUCUGAUGACAAACGGAGGCAUCUACAAUCUCUGAGGGUGUGUGCAUUUGGGCACUCAUUUCACCACUGACUUCAUUUAUGUCCUAUUCUUUGUUUUCCAUUUGUUUCAUUUUUCUAAUUUUAUCUUCCAUUUUUAAAAAAGUUUACUGUACUAGACGUAACUUUUUAAGCUGCCUGAAAUUCUUCUUAGGUUUACAAAUGAUAUAAACUGGUAAAUAAAGAUGAUCAGACCUUAAGCACAUAUAGCACACAUGGCUGGGAUGAAACAACUAAGUAGCAAAAUAUUAAUUUAUAAAACAAAUUAAACAGCAAAAAAAGAAAAUAGUAAAAUCCAACUCUCCUGGACCAUUGGAGGAGGAACUGCAAGGGAUGAUGAAGAUUUCAUAGAGCAAAUGAUUUCUACACUCUGGGAAAGAAUUCUUCAGGCAGUACACCACUUUAAAAUGGUGCUUGACUCACCAAAACAUCAGAGCCGUCUUCAACUUUUCACAACGCAGAGCAGAGAAAGAGGAAGAUCACUUGUAGAUGGAGUGUGGCAGGAAUUUUGUGAAGUGUAUAAAGAAGUUAGCAAGUGUAUAAAGAAGAUAGCCAUUUACUAAGCAUCUGCUAUGUAGCAGGCACUCUGCUAGACAUUUGUUAUGGAAUGAAUCAUUUAAUCCUUGUAAUAAACUUGCAAGGAUAUAUUUUAGCCCACCCCCUACCUAAAACCAAUAAAUAUGUGGCUCAGAAAAGUAAAUUAACUGGUCUAAGAGCAAGUAAUUAGUAAAAAGUUGAGCUGGGAUUUGAUAUAAAGAAAAAUCUGAUCUAAACUUGAUAAUAUUUCUGCUUCCCCAAAUUGCCUCCUUAAAGUUUACACAUUGUUUGGUCUCUUCAAUACACAUCAAAAUUAUCAAUACCUAUAGAAAUGUCAAUGAAAAGUCUUCCUUUAAAUUAGAAUAUUUAGAAACUUUAGGCCCAGAGACUAAAAAGUAUGUGAAAUUAGUAUAAAAGUAUGUAAAAUGUUUGUAAAGAAAUGAUGAUAACUUCGUAGACCAAUGUGGCAUGUAAAACAUGUGGGCCACAGAGGGAGAUUAAGAAAAAAAUAUAUGCAAUCAUAAUAAUAAAAGUGGAGUUACUCCAGACUAUGCUUUUUGCCAAUUCUUUGGUGAGAAGGGAUUGGUAGUUAAUUAUAGAACCACUUUCUAUAUUAAUUCUAGAUAUUGUAUUCUAAUCCUUAGAAAGUAGGCUGUGGAAGAACUAAUAAUUGCCCUCAAGGACCCAUUCUCUUCUUCUCAUAAGAGAAUCUAUGGUUGCCCAACUAAAGCUUCUAUUUCGCAGCACUCAUUGCAGAUAGUUAUAGCUAUGGACUCAGUUCUGGCCAGUGGACUCUGAAUAAAGGUACUAUGUACACUGUUGGCUGUGCUCUUAAAGCUAAGGGAUGUGCCAUCUCAUCCCCUGUGCUCUCUUUGUUGGCUGGGAAGCUGGCAGGAUGAUAGGAGUUAAGCCAGCCAUUAUGGACUUUCAGAUGGAAACCAGCUGUUGAGGAUGAGAGAGCGACAAAAAGAAGACCGUCAAGAUUGUGGGGCUAAUUUACCAGCCUGAAUUGCCAACCUGUGUUUUUGUAUUAC
rnacentral:lncRNA from 10 species